rnacentral:SRP_RNA from 1 species
UGGCGAGUCUAAGUGGAGUGCUAGGGCUACUCUGUAUCGGUAAACGCUCUAUAACCGGCUGAAGACCCUUGUUGAGAUGAUGAGAUUAUUUCAAGCGCCCAAUAGAAACCGUCGAAGCGACGUCCUGGAAGAUGUUUAAUCGUGGAGUUCCUCGCCGGAGGGCAGGAUCAGAAAGCGUAGAGAUCAAAUCGGUUAGGCACGGAAGUGAGCGGCCGUUCGUCUUGUUAGGCAUGCCUCUAGGGUUGCGGCGUGGAGGUACCUAUUGGAAGCGGGGUCUUAGUUAAGUCUUCGAUCUUGGGGACUCGCCA